rnacentral:rRNA from 1 species
UGGGGAAUAUUGGACAAUGGGCGAAAGCCUGAUCCAGCCAUGCCGCGUGUGUGAAGAAGGUCUUCGGAUUGUAAAGCACUUUAAGUUGGGAGGAAGGGCAUUAACCUAAUACGUUGGUGUCUUGACGUUACCGACAGAAUGAGCACCGGCUAACUCUGUGCCAGCAGCCGCGGUAAUACAGAGGGUGCAAGCGUCAAUCGGAAUUACUGGGCGUAAAGCGCGCGUAGGGGGUUUGUGAAGUUGAGUGUGAAAUCCCCGGGCUCACCCUGGGAACUGCAUCCAAAACUGGCAGGCUAGAGUAUGGUAGAGGGUAGUGGAAUUUCGUGUGUAGCGUCGAAAGGCGUGGAUAUAGGAAGGAACACCAGUGGCGAAGGCGACUACCUGGACUGAUACCGACACUGAGGUGCGAAAGGGUGGGGAGCAAACA